UAAAAUGCAAUAUAUGUUGGUGAA
rnacentral:siRNA from 1 species